GCCCGAUUAGUUCAGUUGGAUAGAAUGUCUGCCUACGGAGCAGAUGGUCGUAGGUUCGAAUCCUGCAUCGGGUA
rfam:Perkinsus marinus ATCC 50983 gcontig_1104296202590, whole genome shotgun sequence.